rnacentral:rRNA from 1 species
UACGUAGGUGGCAAGCGUUGUCCGGAAUUACUGGGCGUAAAGAGCACGUAGGCGGUGAAUCGGGUUGAAAGUGAAAGUCGCCAAAAAGUGGCGGAAUGCUCUCGAAACCAAUUCACUUGAGUGAGACAGAGGAGAGUGGAAUUUCGUGUGUAGGGGUGAAAUCCGUAGAUCUACGAAGGAACGCCAAAAGCGAAGGCAGCUCUCUGGGUCCCUACCGACGCUGGGGUGCGAAAGCAUGGGGAGCGAACAGG